AGAGUUUGAUCCUGGCUCAGAACGUACGCUGGCGGCACGCCUAACACAUGCAAGUCGAACGAAGUAGCAAUACUUAGUGGCAGACGGGUGAGUAACAUGUAGGUAUCUGCCCUUUGGCCUGGAAUAACACGAGGAAACUUGUGCUAAUACCGGAUAAGUCUUUACGGAGAAAGCUUUAUGCACCAUUGGAUGAGCCUGCACUUGAUUAGUUUGUUGGUGGGGUAAUGGCCUACCAAGACUGUGAUCAAUAGCUGAUUUGAGAGGAUGAUCAGCCACAUUGGGACUGAGACACGGCCCAAACUCCUACGGGAGGCAGCAGUGGGGAAUCUUGCACAAUGGAGGAAACUCUGAUGCAGCGAUGCCGCGUGAGUGAAGAAGGCCCUUGGGUUGUAAAGCUCUUUCGUCGGGGAAGAAAAUGACUGUACCCGAAUAAGAAGGUCCGGCUAACUUCGUGCCAGCAGCCGCGGUAAUACGAAGGGACCUAGCGUAGUUCGGAAUUACUGGGCUUAAAGAGUUCGUAGGUGGUUAAAAAGUUGGUGGUGAAAUCCCAGAGCUUAACUCUGGAACUGCCAUCAAAACUUUUUAGCUAGAGUAUGAUAGAGGAAAGCAGAAUUUCUAGUGUAGAGGUGAAAUUCGUAGAUAUUAGAAAGAAUACCAAUUGCGAAGGCAGCUUUCUGGAUCAUUACUGACACUGAGGAACGAAAGCAUGGGUAGCGAAGAGGAUUAGAUACCCUCGUAGUCCAUGCCGUAAACGAUGUGUGUUAGACGUUGGAAAUUUAUUUUCAGUGUCGCAGCGAAAGCGAUAAACACACCGCCUGGGGAGUACGACCGCAAGGUUAAAACUCAAAUGAAUUGACGGGGACCCGCACAAGUAGUGGAGCAUGUGGUUUAAUUCGAAGAUACGCGCAGAACCUUACCAACACUUGACAUGUUCGUCGCGACUUUAAGAGAUUAAAGUUUUCGGUUCGGCCGGACGAAACACAGGUGCUGCAUGGCUGUCGUCAGCUCGUGUCGUGAGAUGUUGGGUUAAGUCCCGCAACGAGCGCAACCCUCACUUUUAGUUGCCAUCAUUAAGUUGGGCACUCUGAAAGAACUGCCAGUGAUAAGCUGGAGGGAGGUGGGGAUGACGUCAAGUCCUCAUGGCCCUUACGUGUUGGGCUACACACGUGCUACAAUGGUAUCUACAGCAGGAAGCAAGACUGCGAAGUUAAGCAAAUCCUUAAAAGAUACCUCAGUUCGGAUUGCACUCUGCAACUCGAGUGCAUGAAGCUGGAAUUACUAGUAAUCGUGGAUCAGCGUGCCACGGUGAAUGCGUUCCCGGGUCUUGUACACACCGCCCGUCACACCAUGGGAGUUGGUUCUACCUUAAGGCAAGGUUUCAAACCCUUGACCACGGUAUAGUCAGCGACUGGGGUGAAGUCGUAACAAGGUACCG
rnacentral:rRNA from 1 species